GACUCACGCAGGAAUCUUACCGGGUCCGGACACACUGAGGAUUGACAGACAAGCGCAGUGUGCGAGAUUCACGUCUCACUCGCUGUGCAAAAUAUGAUAGCUCUUUCAUAAUUAUGUGAUAGGUGGUGCAUGGCCGUUCUUAGUUCGUGGAGUGAUCUGUCUGCUUAAUUGCGUUUCCAUACAAAGCGGUUCCCAUAAAUGCUCGAGCGUGAUUCAUAUCUGCUUGUCGCAUUUGAACCCUUUUAGGAAUGCAACGAACGAGACCGCAACCUCUUGUUGCACCUUCAGCUGCUCAAGGUGCUCAACUAGAGGGACAGCUGUAUUUAUUUCUUUUAGCCAGAGGAAGGAUGCGGCAAUAACAGG
rnacentral:rRNA from 1 species